GAUGAACGCUGGCGGCGUGCCUAAUACAUGCAAGUCGAGCGAACAGAUGAGGAGCUUGCUCCUCUGACGUUAGCGGCGGACGGGUGAGUAACACGUGGAUAACCUACCUAUAAGACUGGGAUAACUUCGGGAAACCGGAGCUAAUACCGGAUAAUAUAUUGAACCGCAUGGUUCAAUAGUGAAAGACGGUUUUGCUGUAACUUAUAGAUGGAUCCGCGCCGCAUUAGCUAGUUGGUAAGGUAACGGCUUACCAAGGCAACGAUGCGUAGCCGACCUGAGAGGGUGAUCGGCCACACUGGAACUGAGACACGGUCCAGACUCCUACGGGAGGCAGCAGUAGGGAAUCUUCCGCAAAGGGCGAAAGCCUGACGGAGCAACGCCGCGUGAGUGAUGAAGGUCUUCGGAUCGUAAAACUCUGUUAUUAGGGAAGAACAAAUGUGUAAGUAACUAUGCACGUCUUGACGGUACCUAAUCAGAAAGCCACGGCUAACUACGUG
rnacentral:rRNA from 1 species